GGGGCAACCCUGGUGGCGAGUGGCGAACGGGUGAGUAAUACAUCGGAACGUGUCCUGUAGUGGGGGAUAGCCCGGCGAAAGCCGGAUUAAUACCGCAUACGCUCUGCGGAGGAAAGCGGGGGAUCUUCGGACCUCGUGCUACAGGGGCGGCCGAUGGCAGAUUAGCUAGUUGGUGGGGUAAAGGCCUACCCAAGGCGACGAUCUGUAGCUGGUCUGAGAGGACGACCAGCCACACUGGGACUGAGUACACGGCCCAGACUCCUACGGGAGGCAGCAGUGGGGAAUUUUGGACAAUGGGCGCAAGCCUGAUCCAGCAAUGCCCGCGUGUGUGAAGAAGGCCUUCGGGGUUGUAAAGCACUUUUGUCCGGAAAGAAAACCUC
rnacentral:rRNA from 1 species